rnacentral:pre_miRNA from 2 species
UGAGGUAGUAGGUUGUAUAGUUUUAGGGUCAUACCCACAACUGGGAGAUAACUAUACAAUCUACUGUCUUUC